UACGUAGGUGGCAAGCGUUGUCCGGAUUUAUUGGGUUUAAAGGGUGCGUAGGCGGUCUGAUAAGUCAGUGGUGAAAUACGGCAGCUUAACUGUCGAGGUGCCAUUGAUACUGUUAGACUUGAGUACUGAUGAGGUAGGCGGAAUGGACGGUGUAGCGGUGAAAUGCUUAGAGAUCGUCCAGAACACCGAUAGCGAAGGCAGCUUACUAAGGAGUAACUGACGCUGAGGCACGAAAGUGUGGGGAUCAAACAGG
rnacentral:rRNA from 1 species